AAGUUGAGUUCACUUUACAGAGCCAUACGUAGUGGAAAUACAACUGAAUCCAGCUCAUUUGUAACCACUGCUUUUAAUUCAUUUCCUCUCGUUUUAUCUAUUUUUAUCCCCUUAUAAAUAAAAAGGGAACUAAUAAUUCGAAUACAUCUAAGCAAAAAGUAAAAUGAACAUAACUUAAUCAAUACAAAAAGAAGAAACAAAGACAUGCGAAAAAUGGGGAUGAGUUUGGUGUUUCAGACAAAAAAAACAAACUGCCAAACAAACCUUGCUCUGCGCCAACAAGAUCAGAAACGAUUUGUAGAACCGAUGCGGCUUGGAACAAACAAUCAAAGCAAGCCGGUCUCGCCUGGAUAUUCACAGGAGAAGGAAUCAACUCCAAGCUGGAAGGAUCAAGUACGCAAGCGUUCGUCAACUCCCCCGAUAGCCGAAGCUCUCGCGAUGCGACUCGCCCUCAUCAAGGCAGCGACCCCAAAGAUCUUUUUUCUCAUCAGGAUGUCCUCCGAUAAUCAUAAAAGCAAUUAACAAUGACAUGCAGGUGAAAGAAAUUCAUAGAAUCGUUUGUGAUAUCUAGGCAAUCUGCUCUGUGUUCAUAGUUCUCAUGAUUUCAACAAAAAUGCCGACGCGUUAGCUAAGCUCUCUCUUAGAUCUGCUUCUGUAUUUGACCCUUCAAUGAGCUGAUUUGGGCCCGAGGCUUUUCUUUAGUAUAAAAUUAUUAAUAUUAUGAGUUGUGUACAAAAAAAAGUUUGGGAAAAUUUUUUAACUGUACUUUUGUAAGAAGCAGUUUAAUUGUGUAUUUUAUUGUAAUAAGUUUUAGGGUAAAGUAUGUAAUCUUCUUAGUUCAGGGACAUGAAUCGAUUGUUAUAUC